rnacentral:lncRNA from 1 species
GAUAAAACCUACUAAGGCAGAUGGCAAACGCCUGGAAUGCCGAUAUUGGAUACCGGUAAUCCAUUGUAAACACAUCCUUGUCCACUUUACCAAAUUGUAGGAUAACCUCCUCAUGUUCAGGUGUGAUCCCUCCACCCUCAGCCGAAGCAACUAGCUGAAAGUUCACCACCGAGGCAAUUGUUACGCGUCCAUUAAAAUUUAAACACCAGCUCUGUAGCUGCUCAUUCCAUAUGGGAGAUUUAAUUUUUAAGAUGAGCUGUCCAUCUCUCUGACUACAUAAAGGUCCAGAAAAGAUAUCGUUCGUGCUGUUAGGUAAAGAUGGAGGGGUGUCAAUGCUACUUUGCCGGAACUCAGUCUGUGUUGGAGCCACACCUCCUGGUUUAAUAGCAGAAGGGGAAAUUGUGUCCAUGACGCANUUACCCUUAUGAAUUUCUGUUGUUGAAUAUGUAUUCUGGAUACUUCUAACUUCUCUUCUUAAUAGGAGGUCCCUCUUCGCGAUCUUGAAGAUAAGGUCGUCGGCUUGUAUUUUUGUAAGGGUGAUGAUGACCAUCACCUCACAGAAAAAAUUCUGGAGGCCUAUGAACAGUUGGUUAAAGUGAAAAACUUCGAAAUUGUGCUUGUUUACAUUCACUACUCAUUUUUGGGGUUUCAACAUACAAGCGAAGAAUCAUACUGGAAAUGUUUCGGAGAAAUGCCUUGGUUGGCCCUCCCGUAUAAAGACCCGGUUUGUAACACGUUGCAGCAGGUUUUCAAUCAUCCUAAGUAUGCAGAUCCAGACGGGUCAGAGCCAAACCCUAAUCUUGUGAUUAUUGGACCAGAAGGAAAAUUUGUUGAACGGUUUGGUGCUGACAUCCUACUGAAAUAUGGAAUUUCAGCAUAUCCUUUCACCCGCAAAAAAGUUGCCAAGUUAGAGGCUAAAAAGAUGAGGAACAGUAAUCUUUUCAAUGGUGGAAAUAAAAACAUUCCUCUCGUACGAACAGAUGGGUCCAUAGUAAGUUUUUUUUUUGCAUUUUUGUGCUUGGUUCUACGAUCCCUACUCUCUGCUUGUUUCUCAGUAGUUGAAUAAAUUCUGGUCAUUGACAUUUGUUUUCGACUUUACAGGUUCAGUUGUCACAACUUAUGGGGAAGAGAAUCAUGCUUAUCGCUGAGAAUGGUAUAGGGCUCAACAAUCCAGAUGCCAAGUUUUGGCGGAUUCUACGAGCGAGGUAUCUCCAAAUGAAGGGCACAAGUGAUGAGUUUGAAGUUAUUCACAUCUGUACAAAAGAAGGAUAUUCUUAUGGUAAGAAUAUUGCAACUACACCAUGGUUGACGCUUCCUGCACAUAGCAAGGGAUCAAGUGGAAGCAGUCUGUUAGGAAAUUUUACUUCUGUUGGGGGGCUUUUUGCUUUUGAUCGUGAUGGAAGCCUAGUCAGGAGAACAAGAUACCCAUCAAUUAAAUGGGAGAAGAUGGACUUUCCCUUUUAUUCUGGUGUUUGGAAGGAGGUGUUGAGGGAUAUAAUAGGAAGGUACCAAUGGAACUCUUUAAAUUAGUAUAUGGGGUUUGCUCUGAGCCUCUUACUAAUAGUAUCAGGUUAAGGUGUUUUAAUUUAUCUUUAACAAAAACAUGGUUAUUGUAUUGAUGUUAUGCCAAUGUUGGUACUAUGAAGUUUUAAAUGGAAGAGGGAAGAUGAUUAAUCAGUGAUGAAGUUUGAAAAACGGAGAAGUGAUGGCUAGAAAUCUAAUUUUGGAGGUCGGAUUUCAUUAAUCCUUAGUUUUGAUGUAAAUAUAAGGGAGAUUACAGUGUCUUUUAAUGAAAAAUCAUUCCCAGCUAUUUAUCUUCGCUGAUAAUACGUUACUAAUAGAUUGUUUCAAAUCAUUAUUCAAACGGAUAUAUAUCAGCAUUGCUAUCAGCAAACUCAUUCAAAAAAUGACAUCUUAUUCGUUUUGUUAUUAAAUUUUAUUUGUAUUUGAGGUAUAUCAUGUUAUGUUGAUAAGCAGUAGUAUUUCAUCAUUGCUACACAUUUGAAACUAUGAUUGCUUUUUCUUCUUUUUUUCCUAGACACGACUGAUUUUUGUUGUUCUGUUUAUCUCUAUGUUUGACACGUAUGAAGUGCUAACUCUGGAUCCAAAUAAUAAAAACUUUAAAAGAAAUUUAAAGAAUUAUGUUCACAAAAACAGCACAUAGGUCAUGAGACUAUACUUAUCUAUUCUCCCCAUGAAUUCACCGUUAUUAAGAUACGAGAGUUUAUCAAAAUCUCUCAAAUUUAUAAACUUCUGCGCUUAGCAUGUGCCUAUGGGCCCACACAAAACAAAUAUCUUUCAAAAUACGAGAUGAAAACAGUGUGCACGUAAACAAAACGGGGUGAUUAAUUAAUGCUCACAUUAAUGCAUAUACUAGUACUCAUGUACAUGUACACAAUCACACAUGGAUUAAGCAAUUUUGAAUUGCAUUUAGCAACACCAUGGAUAAAACCUACUAAGGCAGAUGGCAAACGCCUGGAAUGCCGAUAUUGGAUACCGGUAAUCCAUUGUAAACACAUCCUUGUCCACUUUACCAAAUUGUAGGAUAACCUCCUCAUGUUCAGGUGUGAUCCCUCCACCCUCAGCCGAAGCAACUAGCUGAAAGUUCACCACCGAGGCAAUUGUUACGCGUCCAUUAAAAUUUAAACACCAGCUCUGUAGCUGCUCAUUCCAUAUGGGAGAUUUAAUUUUUAAGAUGAGCUGUCCAUCUCUCUGACUACAUAAAGGUCCAGAAAAGAUAUCGUUCGUGCUGUUAGGUAAAGAUGGAGGGGUGUCAAUGCUACUUUGCCGGAACUCAGUCUGUGUUGGAGCCACACCUCCUGGUUUAAUAGCAGAAGGGGAAAUUGUGUCCAUGACGCAAUGCAUUCUUCUCCUGCUGAAUCCAACAAAGUAAUGUAAAGUAUUCCAGUCAAACCAAUACGUUUUACCCAUGGGGUAAGCUGUAUUAUAUCUAAACUUUGAACAGAACAUAGCUGCUUACCCUUCUACUUAUAACCUUAUUCUAUAAAACUUCUUUUGAAAUGUAUGCAAUAGAUUCACCUUUAGAAAAAAACUAUAUUUCCUGUGCAGAAAACUGUUGUACCCUCUUUUCACACACACUGCGGAUUGUAUACAUGCUAAAACUAUUUUAAUCUUACAUUUAUAUACUCUGAUAGAUUUGUGCAGCAUAAUUUCUUUGUGAUUGCUAUAUUGCUAUUUUUCUUUUUCUAAAUUGCUAUAAUACCAUUCAUAAACGAUAAUAAAAUAGAAUGAUGCAUGAG